AUAUCAAUAAGCGGAGGAAAAGAAACUAACAAGGAUUCCCCUAGUAACUGCGAGUGAAGCGGGAAAAGCUCAAAUUUAAAAUCUGGUAGUCUUUGGCUGCCCGAGUUGUAAUCUAGAGAAGCGUUAUCCGCGCUGGACCGUGUAUAAGUCUCCUGGAAUGGAGCGUCAUAGAGGGUGAGAAUCCCGUCUUUGACACGGACUACCAGGGCUUUGUGAUGCGCUCUCAAAGAGUCGAGUUGUUUGGGAAUGCAGCUCUAAAUGGGUGGUAAAUUCCAUCUAAAGCUAAAUAUUGGCGAGAGACCGAUAGCGAACAAGUACCGUGAGGGAAAGAUGAAAAGAACUUUGGAAAGAGAGUUAAACAGUACGUGAAAUUGUUGAAAGGGAAACGCUUGAAGUCAGUCGCGUUGGCUAGGAAUCAGCCUUGCUUUUGCUUGGUGUAUUUCCUGGUUGACGGGUCAGCAUCAAUUUUGACCGGUGGAAAAAGGCCAGAGGAAUGUGGCAUCUUCGGAUGUGUUAUAGCUUCUGGUUGUAUACAUCGGUUGGGAUUGAGGAACUCAGCACGCCGCAAGGUCGGGGUUCGCCCACGUUCGUGCUUAGGAUGCUGGCAUAAUGGCUUUAAUCGACCCGUCUUGAAACACGGACCAAGGAGUCUAACAUGCCUGCGAGUGUUUGGGUGGAAAACCCGAGCGCGUAAUGAAAGUGAAAGUUGAGAUCCCUGUCGUGGGGAGCAUCGACGCCCGGACCAGACCUUCUGUGACGGCUCCGCGGUAGAGCAUGUAUGUUGGGACCCGAAAGAUGGUGAACUAUGCCUGAAUAGGGUGAAGCCAGAGGAAACUCUGGUGGAGGCUCGUAGCGAUUCUGACGUGCAAAUCGAUCGUCAAAUUUGGGUAUAGGGGCGAAAGACUAAUCGAACCAUCUAGUAGCUGGUUCCUGC
rnacentral:rRNA from 1 species